UGGAAUUUCCCAGAGAGACAAGAAUAUUCCCAUAAUCAACACACUCUGCCACUCUCUCCUAGGUCCUUGCUACUCAAUGUGUGGUCUAAGGGCCAGCAAUAGAGGCAUUGCUUUGCGCUUGUUGUUAUAAAAGCAGAAUCACAAACUGCUCUCUGACUCAAAGUGUAAGAAUCUGCAUUUUAACAAGACACUCAGAUAAUUCUCAUGUAUAUUAAAAUCUUGGACUCUUUAUUCUAAAAAAAUUGUCUCACAUUGGCUGAAGGUGCUCAGUCUUCUUUGCAAUUUCUGUUUACCUUCCUAACUUCUAACAUUAGGAUGCUUUAGGGCUCAUUCAUCAGACCUGUUCUUCAUCUACACUUAACAUGUCAGUUUAGAUCAUCCAGUCCCCUCCCUUUAAAUACUUUCUAGAACUGCAAUGGCCAAGUAUAUAAUUCCAGUCAAGUCUUCUCCCAUGUACUUAUAUUUUUGCAUCCAGUUCUCAUCUACUGUGUAUCUCCACUGGCACAUGUAAUAGGUACCUCAAAUUCAACUUAUCCAUUGCUAAUACCCCAGCUGUAACCAUCAUUAUCCUUCAUGUGACAUAUUAAAAGCCUUCUAACUGGGCUUCCUUCUUUCACCUUGACCCCUUGACCACGUGGGUUCACCAUCCAUGGAUCCAACAAACCAAGUAUUGACAUGUGAUGCAGAACCUGUGGAUAUGAAGGGCCAACUUUUAUAUUGAGAGCUUCACAGGGCCACCUGUGGGAUUUGAACAUCUGCAAGUUUUGGUAUCUGCAAGGGUCCUGGAACCAAUACCCCAUGAAUACAGGCAGAUGACUGUACAUAUAAAAGUCUCGAUUCUGUGUAGACACACAAGUAUAUUUAUAGUAAAAUGGAAGAUAAUAAAACACACCCAAAUGCUGAUGAUCAGGUUCUAUAAAUUAUAGACUUAGUAUUAAUACUCUAUCCUGCUUUUCCACCUUGCAUUUUGUCAUAGGAAUUUUAUAUAAAAUAAUUAAACAGUCAUAUAAUGAUUAAAAUCAUUAGAAUCUACAUUAUUAGCUCCAUAAUUUAGCCAUUCUCUUACUAUUAGAGCUAUUUAAGCUACAAUUUCUGAAUUUUCACUGUUUUAAAAAUAGCGAAACCUCCUUAUACAUAAAUCUUUACUUAUAUUUCUAAUUAUUUUUUAAGACAGAUUCUAACAGGUUGAAUUACUGGGUUAAACAGAAUAUUCAAAAGACUCCUGAUGAAAAUAAUCAAAUUAACCUUCAUAAAAUAUAUGGUAAUUAACAUUCCUGUAAGUAGAAUCUGCAAAUUUAGAUGCUAUCACACACUUGAUAGUCCGAAAUUUUUCAUUCAUUAAAACAUUGCCAAUAAUAUAGAUAAAAUAUUUCAUUUUCAUGAGAAUAUAGUAAUGGAUGUGAUCAAUUUUCCAUGUAUUUGGAGACCAAUUCUUAAUGCUCAUGUCUGCUUAGUACUCCUGACUCUCAGAAAUUGGCCAGGGAGGCCUGAUUCCUUCCUCUGUAGUAAAAAAAAAAAAAAAAAAAUUACUUCAUUUACUCAUUAGAAUCAGCCUCUUGCCAAGCAACCUUUCAUUAUUCUUUUUCUAACGUUGACCUGACCCAGUGGCACCUUGCAAUUGAUUGAGCCAACAUCUAAUUAAUGGGGUUUGUAUUGAUGGUAAAUAAGCCACACUGUAAUUUAUAAUGACUUUAUUUCAGGAGUUAUUUACCUAUGGGAAAAUGAGAUUUUUUUUUCUCUGUGAAUUCAAACAGUGUCUCACUCAGAAUCUCCAAAUACACCCAAAUAGAUGUAGCACAAGAAUGUUAUAUCUCAAGGCUUCCCAAGACAAUAUACCAAACCCACAAUUUAUCCAUAGAAAUGAUAAACGGUUAAUUGUUUCAAUGUGAUUUUCAUGUCACUGUUAUAUCUUUCCUAACCAAAAUAAUUUAUUGAACUUGCCUUACACAGUAUCUUAAGUUUUACCAUGAUAGUGACCCUUUUGCUAAUGAAUUUCAUUGCUUUCAGAUGUGCAACUCCUUACCAGGAAUCAGC
rnacentral:lncRNA from 1 species